AACAAAGAAGUAAAAUUUACAUUUAAUUUCGACUUAAAUUUAGGAAUUUAUUAUUUCCAUGUUU
rnacentral:tRNA from 1 species